UUUAGUGAGAGUUUGAUCCUGGCUCAGGACGAACGCUGGCGGCGUGCCUAACACAUGCAAGUCGAGCGAGUUGAUUCUCUUCG
rnacentral:rRNA from 1 species